AAAUGAAUUGACGGGGACCCGCACAAGCAGAGGAGCGCGUGGUUUAAUUCGGCGGCAAUCGAAGAACCUUACCAGGGUUUGAAAUGUAUCUGCAUGCCCUAUGAAAAUAGGGAGGCCUUCGAGGGUGAUACACAGGUGCUGCAUGGCCGCCGUCAGCUCGUGUCGUGAGAUGUAGGGUUAAGUCCCGAAACGAGCGCAACCCCUAUUCUAUGUUACAAGUGUCUUAGAAAACCGCCUCGGUAAAACGAGGAGGAAGGUGGGAUGACGUCUGGUCCGCAUAGCCCUUAUGUCCUGGGCUACACACGCGCUACAAUGGCCGAUACAGUAGGAAGCCAAAUCGUAAGAUGGAGCUAAUCCUUAAAGUCGGUCUCAGUUCGGAUUGAGGUCUGAAAUUCGACCUCAUGAAGUUGGAUUUGCUAGCAAUCGUAGAUCAGCAAUGCUACGGUGAAUACGUUCUCGGGUCUU
rnacentral:rRNA from 1 species